GUUGGCAAAAGCAACAACUAGCAGAAGCUGGGCUUGGUGAAAAAAAUAUAACAGUAUAAAUCCGGAUGAAUUCCAGGAAGUACUAUAUGCUAACUUUCCCAAGCUGAGGGAUGCUGGGGGUUUUGAGAUAAUAAUAUGCUUUGGGAGAGGAAGAAAGCUUACCCCAAUUAGGGGGCAUAUUCACCCCUGAAUAUAAAAGAAAAAUCAGGUCAAUGUAGAGUCCAUAUACGACCAAUUCAACAUGCACUAAACAUGGAUUCAGAAAGGGUAAAGAGGCAUAAUAUGAUCAGUUAUCAAUCAAUCAAUCAGUCAAAUUCACCUAUAUAGCGCAAGUAUCCAUUAAAUAAUAUUCAAAGGCGCUCGAGUUUUGUGUGAAUUUGAAACACAUCCUUAAGAAAGUUCUAAUAGAUAAAAUAUAAAUGACAGUUUAUAAAUGAUUAUUAAUACAUCAUUUUUAAUUGUUUACUCUUUUAGGAAACUAAUGAGGACUCUGGAUUGACACAGAAGUGUCCUAAAUGCCAAAAUAACAUUUCAUUCUGUGUUUUAAAGAAACAUUUGGCAAGCUUUGCAAGUAGCAGACCUAGUCCUCCAUCAACAGUAUCCAUACCACCUGAAGAACAGGUUGAAGAAAGUGAUACAUUGUAUGAACCAGACCUCACUCAUAGUCAUACUCCUAAUGACGUUCAUGAAGAGGCGGAUCAAGAAAUUCAGACGUCUACUUGACCGUUUUUGAGCUGAACCGCACUACACUUACCCACCAAGCAGUAUGUGACAUUUGUGUGCAGCUGACAGGGAAGAAUAUAAUAUAUUGUAAAUAAAGUAAUA